rnacentral:rRNA from 1 species
GAUGAACGCUAGCGGCAGGCCUAACACAUGCAAGUCGAGGGAGAGGUUACCUUCGGGUAGCCAAAACCGGCGCACGGGUGCGUAACGCGUAUACAAUCUGCCUUUCACAUAGGGAUAGCCCGCUGAAAUUUGGAUUAAUACCUACUGGUAUAUAACAGCGGCUUCGUUUUUAUAUUAAAGCUACGGUAGUGAAAGAUGAGUAUGCGUUCUAUUAGCUAGUUGGAGAGGUAACGGCUCCCCACGACGACGAUAGAUAGGGGUUCUGAGAGGGAUGUCCCCCACACUGGUACUGAGAUACGGACCAGACUCCUACGGGAGGCAGCAGUGAGGAAGAUUGGACAAUGGUCGGAAGACUGAUCCAGCCAUGCCGCGUGCAGGAUGAAGGUCCUAUGGAUGGUAAACUGCUUUUGUAAGGGAAGAAUAAGAGGUACGUGUAGUUUGAUGACGGUACUUUACGAAUAAGCAGCGGCUAACUCCGUG